AACGAACGCUGGCGGCAGGCUUAACACAUGCAAGUCGAGCGCCCCGCAAGGGGAGCGGCAGACGGGUGAGUAACGCGUGGGAACGUACCCUUUGCUACGGAAUAGCUCCGGGAAACUGGAAUUAAUACCGUAUGUGCCCUACGGGGGAAAGAUUUAUCGGCAAAGGAUCGGCCCGCGUUGGAUUAGCUAGUUGGUGGGGUAAUGGCCUACCAAGGCGACGAUCCAUAGCUGGUCUGAGAGGAUGAUCAGCCACAUUGGGACUGAGACACGGCCCAAACUCGUACGGGAGGCAGCAGUGGGGAAUAUUGGACAAUGGGCGCAAGCCUGAUCCAGCCAUGCCGCGUGAGUGAUGAAGGCCUUAGGGUUGUAAAGCCCUUUCGGCGGGGAAGAUAAUGACGGUACCCGCAGAAGAAGCCCCGGCUAACUUCGUGCCAGCCGCCGCCGUAAUAC
rnacentral:rRNA from 1 species